rnacentral:lncRNA from 1 species
AAGAUAAAUCUGUCUUUUCUAGGUAAAUUCAUGCUGGCCAUGAUGAUGGCUCAGGGCUGCUGAUUCUCCUGGAGGAGAUUCUACUGAAUUGUGAUUUUCAACAUCUUGUUCUUGGCAUCUAAAAAAGAAGUCAGGUGAACAGGACAAAGUAGAAGUUGAGGUGCCUCAAGAGAUGUCAUGGUAGCUCAAACCCACAUAAAAUCACAUCUGGAGCCUCCAAGGUACCCUGCUGAAAGAGCUGAUGCAUUUCCAUGACAAUGGGGCUGACAUGUGCUUUAACUGGACCCAAAGAGGCUGCAGUGUAGGGAGAGCUCCAGGCACAUGGUUGUCCCCCAGCAACAAGGUUUGAACAGGAAAGGACCUGGGGUCGAAAGCCCUCCCAGGAUGACAAGUAGAGAAGUGUGUCUACUGAAGCCUAAACCCAGCAGAGAAGAAGGAGAACUGAGUAAAGCAAAUGAGAAACUGAGUCCUGCUGAUGAAGAAAGGUCCUGAAUUGAGGAGAAACAGAAUGCUUACACUUACCUGUCCCUAGAUUUUCAGUCACAUAAGCUAAUUACUCAUCUUUCAGUUAAAGGUAUUUGAGAUUAAAUUUGCUUUCACUUUUAACUUCUAGUUGGAAAAUAAACCUAACUAAAAUUUUCA